UGGGGAAUAUUGGACAAUGGGCGAAAGCCUGAUCCAGCCAUGCCGCGUGUGUGAAGAAGGUCUUCGGAUUGUAAAGCACUUUAAGUUGGGAGGAAGGGCAGUAAGCGAAUACCUUGCUGUUUUGACGUUACCGACAGAAUAAGCACCGGCUAACUCUGUGCCAGCAGCCGCGGUAAUACAGAGGGUGCAAGCGUUAAUCGGAAUUACUGGGCGUAAAGCGCGCGUAAGUGGUUCGUUAAGUUGAAUGUGAAAGCCCCGGGCUCAACCUGGGAACUGCAUCCAAAACUGGCGAGCUAGAGUAGGGCAGAGGGUGGUGGAAUUUCCUGUGUAGCGGUGAAAUGCGUAGAUAUAGGAAGGAACACCAGUGGCGAAGGCGACCACCUGGGCUCAUACUGACACUGAGGUGCGAAAGCGUGGGGAGCAAACAGG
rnacentral:rRNA from 1 species